UUUUUUAAAUUAAUAUUUAUUAAAUAAUUUGUUUUGUAAAUGAGGAAAACGGCUUUUCCUUAUUCUAGUAAACAUUUUAAUUGUUACUCAGUUUUACGCUAUAUAAACCAUGGAAGUGAUGUUUAUUGUUAUCAGUUGAAAAAUGAAACUUACAUUAUUGUUGGUACUUUUUGCUCUUUUGAGUACUUUGAUGAUGACAGGAGUCAUUGCUGAAACUUGCCGAAAGGAAGGGCAAAGCUGCAAAAAACAUAGACAAUGCUGCAGCAACAGUUGCGAUAUGAAAAGAAGUGUGUGUAAGUGAAGUUAAAAAUAUUCCUGGAUGGCAAUCCUAUAAUAAUAGUUCCAACUAAAAUCUGCGAAAAUUUAUGAAGUCUCAUGAACGAAAUAUACUUAUGUUUUUCUUUCUUUGCCUAACAGGAUCUUAAGAAGUCAUUUUUCCUCAAAUAUUUUGUUAAAUAUUCUAAUAUAUUAUGAAUUCUUGGAAAAAAAAUAAACAUUUCUUGAAACAAUAA